rnacentral:rRNA from 1 species
AUUGAACGCUGGCGGUAUGCUUAACACAUGCAAGUCGAACGAUGAGAAAGAGCUUGCUCUUUCGAUUAGUGGCGGACGGGUGCGUAACGCGUAGGAAUCUACCUAUUAGUGGGGGACAACUUAGGGAAACUUAAGCUAAUACCGCAUACGCCCUACGGGGGAAAGAAGGGGAUCGCAAGACCUUAUGCUAAUAGAUGAGCCUGCAUAGGAUUAGCUAGUUGGUGGGGUAAAAGCUCACCAAGGCGACGAUCCUUAACUGGUUUGAGAGAAUUGUCAGUAACACUGGAACUGAGACACGGUCCAGACUCCUACGGGAGGCAGCAGUGGGGAAUAUUGGACAAUGGGCGAAAGCCUGAUCCAGCAAUACCGCGUGUGUGAAGAAGGCCUUAGGGUUGUAAAGCACUUUCAAUUGGAAGGAAAACCUCGAAGCUAAUACCUUCGAGUUUGACAUUACCUUUAGAAGAAGCACCGGCUAACUCCGUGCCAGCAGCCGCCGUAA